rnacentral:rRNA from 1 species
UACAGAGGGUGCAAGCGUUGUUCGGAAUUACUGGGCGUAAAGCGCGCGCAGGCGGUCCUUUAAGUCUGAUGUGAAAGCCCACGGCUCAACCGUGGAGGGUCAUUGGAAACUGGGGGACUUGAGUGCAGAAGAGGAAAGUGGAAUUCCAAGUGUAGCGGUGAAAUGCGUAGAGAUUUGGAGGAACACCAGUGGCGAAGGCGACUUUCUGGUCUGUAACUGACGCUGAGGCGCGAAAGCGUGGGGAGCAAACAGG